ACAACUUAAACCGCAACCUGAUC
rnacentral:siRNA from 1 species